rnacentral:rRNA from 1 species
UCCAGACUCCUACGGGAGGCAGCAGUGAGGAAUAUUGGUCAAUGGGCGCGAGCCUGAACCAGCCAAGUCGCGUGAGGGAUGACGGCCCUACGGGUUGCAAACCUCUUUUGCCGGGGAGCAACGGGCGCCACGUGUGGCGCCACUGAGAGUACCCGGAGAAAAAGCAUCGGCUAACUCCGUGCCAGCAGCCGCGGUAAUACGGAGGAUGCGAGCGUUAUCCGGAUUUAUUGGGUUUAAAGGGUGCGUAGGCGUGUCGUAAACGCAGGGGGCAAGUGGGGGGGCACAACCUCUGCCCGCCAUUGAAACUGGCGCUCUUGAGUGGAAGAGAAGUAUGCGGAAUGCGUGGUGUAGCGGUGAAAUGCAUAGAUAUCACGCAGAACCCCGAUUGCGAAGGCAGCAUGCCGGCUUCCGACUGACGCUGAAGCACGAAAGCGUGGGGAUCGAACAGGAUUAGAGACCCUGGUAA